UGCUGAUAAAAUCGAUAACAGACAAUCAGAUUAUACGAUGAAAAAAUCUACUAAAUUCGUAUCGGAAAGCGAAUACAAUUCUCGUCGUACCACAUAUAACAGAUCUUAUAAUAAUCAAAUCGUAAAGUCAAAGAAAAGUGUUUGUUGCCAAACGGACAGAUCGUAUCCUAUAAAAUCGGAAAAGCAUGUUAAACAUAAUCAAAAAGAAAAUUAUACUUCAACGAACACAUCGUCUUCUAAAGACAUUAAGACAAUCUUCGCGACUGACCGCGCGAAUUUCCAUAGCGAAAGGAGUAAGACAAAUUUAGAAUUGCUAGGAACUCGGUAUAUGAAGAAAAUAGCAUCGAGAAAACACGGAAACAACACAACAGAGAAAAGGCCGAGAAAAUACGAUACGGAGAAUUUGUCGAGAGUUCGUAGAAAAGAAAAUAAGUUUGUCAAACUUAAAAGACGCGGAACGAUUAAAAAUAUUAAUUUGUUACCAGAAAAUUUCUUCAGUAAUGGCAGCGUGACAAAUUUCGCCAGCGAUAAUCUGACGAAAAUACUGCGAAAGUAUAAUAGAAGAAAGGAAGCUUUAAGCGAAAACAGAAAGUAUGAUCUUCAAAGAAUGUUGAAUAACAGGAUGGAGAACGACGUCGAUAUAUCUAAAUCGAUAGCUUGCAACGACACGUAUUUUAUAGAUAGUACAGACCGUGUGGAAGACGAAGAAGGAAUUAUGCUUGAAAAUUCUGUUUCCGUUGAAUCCAAUGUAAAUUCACUAAAAACUUCAAACGUGUCAUGGAAAUCGAACAAUUAUUUGGUCGAAGAUAAAACUUCCGAAGUGAUAAUCCUUGGAAACGUGAAGAAACGAUUGGAAGAGGACUAUGAUGAUUAUUUUUCGCUUCACGAUGACGAUCUUUUCCACGAUGCAGAGGAUUCAAACGAUAUUUUAGAAAUAGAUCAACCUUCUACAGAAGUUACUAUGAAUCACUAUGAUUACUAUCGAUACACGUUAUAUAAUAUUUACCCCAACGAACCGAAAUCUGUACUGGUGACAACGUCGGCAACGAAGCACCAAAAAACGAAGCAAGAAUUGACAGAACAGUCGGUACAAACCUCCCGAAACCGUACAUCUUCCAUUCACAAAUUCCGUUUUGCAAAUUCGAACUUGAAUUGCAAUCGCAGCUCGUUAAGAGAGCAAGAAUGCAGUCCAAGCUCGUCGAUCGAGUAUUGCUCCGCUAGGGACAUUUCUUUAUCAAAGUUGCAAUUGUCCCACGACGAUUGUUUUUCAAAUGACGUUUCGUUCAAAGACGACAACAUGUUACAAGACACUAGGGAAUUUUUCGAUCACAUCCCAGUGGAUUCCUACACUGUGUGCUAUUACCAACGGAACUCAACGCCAAACUUUUCGAAUUCGUCUAAAUUGAUCACCGAAUCUCUAGAUUCUGGAACCUUAACUGACUGUUCACGUGGUCAGUUUCGAAAUACGUCGAACGAACGACCUAACGAGAAAAGCGAGAAGAAGGUUAGAGAAGAGUGGAAAGGUUAUGUGAGAAAAGUGGAUUUGCUGCCUACCUACGAUUUUGACACGGAUAGCAGUUAUUCAGAUGAAUCGCUUGAUCGAAGAAUCGAUGUUGUGAUCAAAGAAUUCACGGAGAAUCUGAUUCUAAGUGAAAGAAAGGCGAAGACGAGAUUGAGAAAGAUGGAAAAUUCUACGAGACACAGGCCGACGAGUAAACGACGGAGGAAUAGGCAACAAGCACAGAGGGUAAGAGGGUGCAUUUCAAAACGAAGCUCUACCAGCAAAUUCGAAUCUUCUCCGCGGCUGAACGACGAUGAUUGGGUCAUAAGUAGCUCCACGCCACCCUUGUUCUCCUUUUCUGAUUCUGAAAUCGAUCACAUAUAGUUUUCUAAGAAAUCGGAACAAGUAUCACGCCUUAAAGCACAAUUUGAAGAUACGAAAUUACCAAUCUCCAAUUAUUUCAACUAGUUUUGUUGAGUCGCAGAACUUGUUACUAACCAAACACGCAAAUAAGCAAACAGAACAACAAAAGAGCAGAGUUCCGUGAAAGGACGCUAAGUGAGAGAAGUGUGAAAAGUCAAAGUGCUCGGAGACGCGGCAACAAUGAAAAUGUAGAGACACGUCGAUUCUAGACUGGUCCAACAGAAGUUCGACCACAUCAUUAGACGAGGCUGACCGUCUUUGUAAUGUGGUUUCCUUUGAGGGCAAGGCGACGAAACGAGAGGACACUCGAUAGCCAGCCGAGCGGAAAUGCAUAAACGACCAACAGACUGGCCCGGACUGGCCUUUUCCACGUUCUCUGUCGUGUCGACAAGGUACAAGACUACGACGUCUUUCUCUUCUCAAUCUUUCUGUGUAUCAGUUGCCCAACAUCAAUAGACAACGGGGCAACCAAUUCUCUAUUAAACGAAGGGUCCGGAAAAGUCUGCUGGAAAAACUGACGUCGCUACCGAACGACGCUACCGAUCAAAAGAAAUCUCGCUUUGGAUACUGAACGCUGGUCAUUUCCUGGAAAUUACUUUCCGUUCCUUUCACCGGAACGCGUACACAGUCUCUUCGUCUCUUUUACUUCCGGUCUCUGUCCUUCUUGGUUCUCGUGAUACAAAACGGUCUUGACGUAUUUAAAUUGUUUCACGAUCCUCUUGAUGCCGAAAAGAGAUCAUUGCGAGUACGGCUGCGUAGAAUGAAGAAAAGUUACAGAUAUUUGGUUAUGAUAUACCGAACCCCCUUGCAUGACUAAAUUAAUAUCAUUGACGACAUUUUACAGGUUACAAGUUGGAUGUGUUUGUGACAGCGUUUGAUAGCAAUGUUUUCGGUGAUAAAUCGAAUGGAGUUUUUUUAAGUUUCAAAUUAUUUUAUUUAACGUGAAAUUGUACGAUUGUAGAACCAAGGUCUAUAUAAUCUUCAAUUGUUAGAAUUUAUAACUUGCCAAUUUAUUAAUAUCAUCGACAGAUACAUUUCUUUUUAUUUCGGCUUUAUGUCGCAUUGGCACCUGAAUUAUUAGCGACCAUCUCGCCUCGUUAUUCUUAAAUUAGGUUUCGUGGUAAAACUCAGUUUCUUUGGGUAAUUUAGAACGUCGAUGAUGUGAUCCUGUGAUAUGAAGGCGGAGUUUGCAUUCAAUUUGUACUCGAGUCGUUGGGUUCUAUAUUUUCCAUAUUCUUAUGUGUUCAAAGAUUAAUACCUAUACUUAGGAUUAAUACUUAACUAUAGGUAUCUGGACACUAAUAUUAAUUACUUCGUAUUUUUUUAGUUCCAUUUUCUCGAAAGCGUAUCGCCUCUUUUCGACGAUCUUAUUCUAUAUUUUUUAUUUACCGUUUAUUAAUAAAAAGUGCAGAAGAUUAAUGGCUGUACACUAAGAACGCAAGCGUUAGGUUUCCAACGAUGCUCUUAUUACAUGAAAAAUCAAUAUCUAUAGGCGUCGUUAUAUUUUUUAUGCGUAAAACACAUGUCUCCUUAAAUUUCUCAAAAAUUAAUUCGCUAUCCACGAAACUGCAAAAGCAACGGCAACCAGACCAUUUAGCCUAUGUGCUGGUUUAAUCAAAAUCACGAUCGAAAGGAGCAUAAUUACCGGAGUACGCUUGGUGGCGGGUCGAAAGAGACAGAGAAGGGAAGAAAAGAACUGGAAGAAGGUGGGGUGGUUAGGGUAGAACGGCGGUUGGAUUCAAGCAUCGGAGAAAUCCGCAUUCACGUAAAGGAGGAUCAGCCGUGGAAAAGCAUCUUACACCGAGUCUACGAUAUCUAAUUCCCGAGAGCUCUUUGAUAUAGGUAUAUAUGCCCACACCGGUUCGUUCUGUCGCAGCGAGAGAGUCUAUACAAAGGGAGAAAUAAAUAUCACAGUAAUCUCAGAUCCGCUAUGUGGGACACACUGGAGAUCUUCGACGUCCUCGUCAUCCGUGUACCCAGCCACUAGUUCAUUGGCAACGCUUGCUAUUUAACGUAGGUCUGUAUGUAUGCGUACCCUGCCAAUGAAUAUGAGAAUUUUACUCGGUUUAUGUACUAUGUAUUAUCUAUCGUUUUCAAUAAUUAUCAGAUAAAUUCAUUGUGAUAGAUAAAUUCAGAAGAAUAUAUGCAUAUUUAAAAGAAGAAAAUUUUUUGUCACUUUUAUUUUACGUGUAUUGCGCAACACUCUCUGAAAUUUAAUUACAUUAUAUCGAAAAAAAUUAUGACCAAUAUGAAAAUGUACAUGUACAGGGUGGUUGGUAACUGGUGGUGCAAGCGGAAAGGGGGUGAUUCUACGCGAAAAAAGAAGUCGAAGAUAUAGAAUAAAAAUAUUUUUUAAUUUUUUUUUUUACACGCGUACCGAGCGAAAAUUCAAAGUCGAUUUUCUCGAAA